GAUGAAGAACGUAGCGAAAUGCGAUAAGUAGUGUGAAUUGCAGAAUUCAGUGAAUCAUCGAAUCUUUGAACGCACAUUGCGCCCCUUGGUAUUCCAUGGGGCAUGCCUGUUCGAGCGUCAUUUGAACCCUCAAGCUCUGCUUGGUGUUGGGUGUUUGUCCCGCCAUUGCGCGUGGACUCGCCUUAAAGCAAUUGGCAGCCAUGUAAUCCGGCUUUGAGCGCAGCACAUUGCGUACUCUCUACUGGGACAUGGGCAUCCAGAAGCCUUAUUUUUUUACUCUUGACCUCGGAUCAGGUAGGGAUACCCGCUGAACUUAAGCAUAUCAAUAAGCGGAGGA
rnacentral:misc_RNA from 1 species